UGUAAUUCGAGUUCAUAAAAAAUGUAUCCAGAUUUGAAGGGACGUAAAAAAAUAACAGAUUUCAUACUUCAGGUCAUUAGUAUUGAGUUACCAAAUGCCAUCCCUCUACAACCAAACGCACUAGGAAUAGUUACCAAGUUUAAACUUCGGGUCAUUAGCAUUGAGUUACCACAUGCUUGUAUUAAUUAUAAUGCCCACUUAAAUUCCUUUUUGUGUCUGAGGUAUCAACUAUAGAAGCAUGCUGCUACCUAUCCAAAAAGUUUUUUUGAGAGAACAAGGCUCUAUUCCCCUUUAUGUCGAUAAUAAGUACAGUCCUUCUGGAGUGCACAGCAUAAGCUCAUCUUCAUAGUAAGAAAUCAGUUUAAAAAGGAGAUGAUCCCUUCAACUGGCUUGAAAAAGGUCAUAAUCUGAAAUUGAUCUCUCCAACAUAUGAAUAUAAGAAUAAUUAUAAAGCCCCACCUAAUUUUAGGUGCUAUAAACAUAUAUCCUAUCAAUACUGUUCCUUAAAUCCAUCUCUCUAUGAAAAAAACCCCAUUUUUUACUGGCUCACAUUAAACAAUGAGUAUUUAGAUAGAUGUUCUCAUCACCUGACUCGAUAUUUAAUCAGCACAUAAGGUGAAGCAGAACAAGUAGUCAACAACCACUAACCCACUUGUCAGUUGCCAAAUCUAGUGAUGGUAGUGGCAGAAUAUUCUUCGGCAAUACAAUCUGUUGGAGGUCUACCUAAGUAUGAUAUUACUCCUCCAGGCUGUCCAACGCAUAUUCUGCACUUUCAAUUCUCUGUAGUUGCUCCAGUACAUCAUCCAUAGAAGGUCUCAUUUCCUUACCUCGUUGUAAACAUAGAAAAGCCAACUCUGCAACUGAAGUUAUCAUUCUUUUAACUUCCUUGUCUAACUUGUACCCAAGAGAUGGGUCAAUCAACUCAUCAAAUUCACACCUUUGAAUCUUAUUUAUUGCUAAAUUGGCCAAAUUAAUCUCAUCCCUAUGCCUUGUUAUAUCAACAGCGGGUAUUGAUGAUAUGAGCUCAACAAGGACAACACCAAAGCUAUAGACAUCGCUCUUAUCAGUUAGCUGGUAACAGUAGUAGUAUUCAGGGUCAACAUAGCCAGCAGUUCCUUGUGGAGCAGUUGAGAUAUGAGUAGCAUCAAUUGGGAACAAUCUGGAAAGCCCAAAAUCUGCAACUUUCACACUGAAAUCGUUGUCAAGGAGAAUGUUGUCUGUUUUCACAUCUCGAUGAAUGAUGUCAGAAGCAUGAAGGUAAGCCAAUGCACUAGCUGUUUCUAUGGCAAUCCUCAUCCGAAUGGGCCAGGUGAGAGAACCAGACUUGGCUCGAUCACCAUGGAGAUGAUCAGCGACAGUGCCAUUUGGAACAUAUUCAUAGAUAAGGAGGAGUUCACGACUGCACAGUGAAGUGCAACCAUAGAGGGACACGAGAUUUCUGUGGUGCAGGCGUCUAAGGAUUUCAAUUUCAUUGAGGAAUUGCUUAACCCUUUUAUAGUUGUGAUCAUAAAGGCGCUUGACUGCAACUUCACGUCCGUCUUGAAGUUUGCCAUAGUACACAGCCCCAAAACCUCCAUCUCCAAGUUCCUUGGCAGAAUCAAAAUUGUUAGUGGCCUCUUCAAGCUCAGAAUAGCUAAAGAGAUGGACCGCAAAGUAAUGCUCUCCUUUCUCAAUAUCUGACUUUGAGAAGUCUGAUGUGGUGCUUUUAGAGACAAAGGAAGAUGGAGCAUAUGGUUUUCUCCUGCGACGUAGAUAGAUGAAGACAAUUACACAGGCUAUGACUCCACCAAGAAAAGCCCCAACACCUAUACCAACUUUAGCUGGCACAUUCGGAUUAUUGUCUGCAACAAAGAAAAUAUGCAGCAAUGAGGUGUUAGAACAUUCAUAGAAUUGAAAAUACUGGAAUUCUUUAGUUUAGUGUAAGACCAAGACAAGUAUAUUUACAGAAAUUGAAUUGGUCCAAUGCUGUUCUCAUUCAUGUCUCUUGCAUUUUUCAAUUAGAAUACUUCAUUGUAACUCAUGUUGAUAGCAUAAUUUGUUAGGAUCUGCUGCUAUUGAAAGUGUUGGUUAAAGUUAGUUACCCACCAUUAACCAUUAUUUCUGUUUUAAGUUAGUUAAUAGUAGUUACUAAUGAGCUGAUAAAUAGAAGAAAUCAAGUGCUAUUCAAACAGUGAAUGAAAUACAAUAACUGAAAUCUAUUCUUUCAUUAAAUUCUCUGUUUUUCCUGUUUCCAAUCUCUCCUUUCUUCUCUUUCUCACUCACUUUCCCUCUCUUUCUCAUCUCCCAAACAUCCUUGUUACCAGGUCACAACAAUUUUGUAGACUAAAUUUUAUUGCUGGCAAGAUGGAAGGCAACACGAUUUAAUUAAAGCAAAACUUUUGCACGCAGAAAAAGAAUUGAAUAUGGUUGAUAAAUUAAAUGCAUUUAAUAGGGUAAUAUCAGACAAUUUUCAACAUGUUAGGAAGAGAUUGAAAGAUACCUAUGGACAAAAAAAAUGUGUUAAUGUGAUGAUGUUUUAAUCAUUCAAAUGAAAUGGAUUUUUUCCUCAAAGCUCCAAUUUUGAAUUUAACAUUAGUGCAACUACUACUUGAGAGUGACGAGCUCUUCUCUUUGAAGUGGUGAAGAGGGGAAAAAAAAAAAAAAGUAGAAAUUAACUUGCAGUAUGCAGAAACAAGCCUAUCCAACACUAAACUUCCUAACUUUCUAAAGAGUUGUAUCCUUGGCAUGGAUUGACUCGACAAUAUGCAUUUUACUGUCAAUAUAGAAUCAUCUCGUGACCAUAUAAUCCAAACUAUGUAAUAUCCUAAACACAAAGAAAAGUUAAUCAUGCACUGAUUUGACUUUAAUAGCCAAGAAAAGGGAGAAAGCAUGAGAAAAUUCCCCAGACUGUAAGCUAAUAUAUUCUGAAACGAAUCAUGAAAAUUAUAUGCUGAUUAAAAGAAUUUGAAUUUCAUGAAGAGUUACCGUCAUCACAGGAAUUAAGAUGAGUCCGAUCAUGACAAAAACAAACAAAUUCAUGAUUCUCAAAUCCACAGCGACCACCACUUCCCUCACAAGUGCUGCAAGUAUGCGCAGUCCAAUUCAAGAGGAACCCCAUCUUCAAAAUUUCAGUAUAAUUCUUAUGAAACAAACUAUACAAAUCACUGCCGGUGUGCAAAGGAGCAUUAACAAAGUAGUUGCAUGAAUCCAAAGAAUAGUUAGAGGAUAUCUCCAAUUUUUCAAUGUGAAACCCAGCAAACGAAUAAACAGUAGAAUUGGCAGCACAUCUUAUGGGAUAUGUAAGGUACUUUGUAGGCUUUGAGGUACAAUUGUACAAGAAGUAAAAAUCAAAAUAAUCAGGACUAAUAUUAAAGGGAGUUAGAUCGAGAGUCAAAUUAUGCAAAGGAGUUGGACAUGUGUCCUCCUCAUAGGCCACAGCACUAGCUACGAGGAAGGUCUGAUUGUUAUAGAAAAUAUCUUUAAUGAUAUAAUCAUCAUUGGAGAUUCCGAGAACUGGGUAUUCAUGCUUACAAGUGAUGUCGAAAUUUGGGUAGCCACAGAAGGCGUCUUGAACGUUAGAUAAGAAAAAGGGGUAGCUUAUUUUGGGGCCUUUGCCACAGGUUAUUGGUGCACAUGCCUGGAACUUUUGAUCCGGUGUCAAGGAUUGCUCGGCCAAAGUGUUGAAGA
rnacentral:misc_RNA from 1 species